rnacentral:rRNA from 1 species
CAAUAGCGUAUAUUAAAGUUGUUGCAGUUAAAAAGCUCGUAGUUGGAUUUCUGGUUGAAGCGACCGGUCGGGCGUUGAUUCGUCUGCACUGGAGUCGGUUUUGGCCAUCCUCUAGGAACGUGCGUCUGGUAUUAAGUUAUCGGGCGUAUGAUCCUGGUCUUUUACUGUGAAAAAAUUAGAGUGUUUAAAGCAGGCCUUCGCCUUGAAUACAUUAGCAUGGAAUAAUAAGAUAGGACUUUGGUCUAUUUUGUUGGUUUGCAGACCGAAGUAAUGAUUAAUAGGGAUAGUUGGGGGUAUUUAUAUUCCGAUGUCAGAGGUGAAAUUCUUAGAUUUUCGGAAGAUAAACUUAUGCGAAAGCAUUUACCAAGGAUGUUUUCAUUAA